CGCUCUAUAUUUGUUCGAAAAUCUGAUCACGAUAUUAUUUAUGCCAAGAUAUUUAUGCCAAGAAGAAAUAUUAUUUUCAUCAUUGUUGGAAAUAUUUAAGCCAAGAAGAAAAUCUUCAUGCUUAAAGCAAAAUGUCGGCAUUAUUCUCUUGAAAAAACAUUUUUCGGUCUAUGGGUCAUGUUUUCCCCUGCUUCAAGACCAGAAAAAGAAAACUUUUAGAUAACAAAAAUCUUUCCAUUUCUCAAGAUAUUUUAAGCAUGAGACAAAUGGAGAAGUGGAGUUUGUGGAUCCCAACGUGGAGAUGUUCUCUCGGGGUUCAAACUACCCCGAGCCCUCUUUAUUGGUUGACAUGAUGAACCUUUGUCACCACUUUAUUUCUCUGCUAGAUUCGAUACAACUAGUUUCUUUUUUCCCAGCGACUCGUUCUUUUUCUUCUUUGGAGAAUCGAUCUUCUUUGACGGCGUAUCACCCUUCUUCUUCUUUAUCUUGGUGAGUCAUUUUUCAGUAUUGUAAUAUGGUGAUUUGGUUCAAGGUCGUUGUUGUUGAGGACGGUUGAAGAUCGUCGUUUGACAGAAAGAGUCGAAGAUGGUGUUUGAAGUGGUUCCGAAAUGGGGGAAAUUUGGGAUGGGAUUUUGCGAUUUAGGGUUAGUUCGGGUGGGUUUCGAGUCAAUUUUCAGGUCAUGUUAUGGAUAGGAUAUGAGUAGUCGGGGUUGUAAUUCUGUUUAAAUUCAUUUUCAAUUUAAAUUUAAUAUAAAAUAAAAAGAAUUAUGAGGAUGCAUAUUAGAUUAUUUCAGUUCCUUAGAGGACCAUAUCAGAAAAUUGAUCAUUUUUAUUCUUCUUCCAUUUCAAUAUGUAAGAUAUUUUUUAAAAAAUCGUUGUUUCAUAAUGUUACAUGUUUUAUAACUUUAAAUUUAU
rnacentral:lncRNA from 1 species